GGGGCCUGCAGCGGCCCGCCGACCCCGCGAGGCGGCGGAGCGGGCCCCGGGGCGGCUCAGCCUCGGGCUCGGCGGCCCGGGGCGGCCGGGGGCGGCCCCUCGGCUACUUACCGGGGGGAAAGAGAGCCGGGAUCCCGGGGCCCCGGGCCGGACCGCGGAGAUGCCCCAAACUGACACGGCCGCCAUCUUGGAGACAGGCUCUGAAUUCCAACAUUUGGCACCAUUUGUCCUGCUGAACUGCACCCAUUCGCGAGCAAGGUCACAGAUGAGUUUGCUGCAACUCUCUCCACUCUACUGGCAGCACGACGGCAAAGUGAUUCCCGAGGCCCCUGGCCCCAGACCUCAGCCGGGAUUUGUGGAGUGACUGGUUCUUCCUUCCUCCAGCAUUGUUGUUUUGAGUCUCUGUUCAUCUGCCUGCUCAGGCCCAGGGGGGAGCCGAGCGUAUUAUUAACUGAGUGUCAGGCUGUGUGUGUCUGAGCGGCGGUGAGCGCACGUGUCCUACGCCGAUUUCUGGUGCGCGCAGGCGGGGGAGGAAGCAAUUCCAAGCGCAAGUGGCGGCUUGUCCCUUUCGCAGAGUGUGUUGCGCCGAGGUGGCGUUGCGAUCCGUGGUAUGUAGUGCUGGCCUGAAACUCCUGACGACACCGUCCCAAACGUGGUCCACAGUCCUCCCCCGAACGAAGGGAGGUGUUUAAAGGUGUCUCUGAGAAACAGGCGCAACCCAGGCAGCCCGGCUCCAGAACAAUGGGUCCUUUCAGCCGCCCCCUUUAGAUGUAUGGCUCGUCACCAUGACAACCACCCCAUUAUUGAAAGUCAGAGCCGGUCCCUGCCGCAGACGCUCUGCUCCCGGGCGCCCCUCCCCCGCCGGCCCGCCGUAUGGUGUGUGUGGCACUGGCAGCUGUUGUCAAAAGAAGGCACUUCUUUGUCUCCAGGGGAUGAAAGACAUUUGGUUUUCAUCGCCACCCUUUCUCUCCUCCCGACAACUUUUCUCCGCGCACGGCGCCCUGUCCCCAGAAGUGCCCCCUGGAUGCUGGAGCCCGGCGCCGAGUCCCCGCCGUAACUUUGCUCUGUUCUCGGAGUUCUCGUGCGAGCCUGUGCCCCUCAGACCCAACAGCACCACCUUCCGUAGCGACGAGCUUAUUACCGAGGCUGUCCCCCGGGCGCGCCCAGCUCGGCCACGCCGGUCCCCAGGACGGGGACGAGUGGUCAACUGUCUUAGGGAUCUCGCACUCCAACAGCUGGAUACCUUCUGGCUGAAGAAAAGGGGACACAAUUAUGUAAACAGUAUGACCUGUAUUUCUCUCAGACUUUAAAAGUAUUAUUAAAAUAUUUUUAAAGUUUUGUGUUACAUUUAGUGAAUACCUAGAUAUGAUUUACCUUGUUUUGUCUGUGGAGGAACUUUAUAAAAAUUAAAUUGAAAAACGAGAAAAAGUCUUUGGCUGACCGUAUGUCUGGGAUUUGGUGUUCAAAGAAUAUUGCCCCUCAAACUAUCAUCUGCACCAGGGAUCCUAAAAGUGGAACAGAUGGUGUUUUCGAGACCUGUCUGGAAAUAAAAAAGGUCACAGCGGUGAGCGAAAAAGCAGGAUCAAGGAAGAGGAGAGAUGCCAGGACAGAGAAAUGCAGGAACUUGUACCCACCAGUGUGGAGGGAAGGAGCAAAACUGGCUAGAUUGAGGUACUGUGGAGAUGAACUCGUGCUUUAUGAUUCCGUGGGGGGGAAAGAUAAUCAGAAUAUUCGUAAAAUUUUAUCUAAUACUCAGAAGGGUAGAGACUAGAGGAAGAAAUUUGGGGAUAAGUGUUUCAGAUCUCACUGAGUCUUUCUACUGCUAUUUUUUGGAAUAAAUUAAAAUUUGAAAGGACAUUUUAAAAACUUUGGGAAUGUUGACAGUAUGACAAGUGAAUGGGAAAGGAAGUUCAGCAGGUGACUGAUAAGAAGGCCAUUUUUCUGGUCUUUGAAUUACCAAUUACCAACAAUUACUCUCAGUAAACAGGGAAGCAGCCAAGUCAGGCACACAGAAAACCAGUAUUUGCAGAGCGAACGAAGGUUUGGGGUUUUUUCCCCUGAGAAUAAUUUUUAUCUAAAUAACUAUCUAGAAAAUAAUAAGUAUGUUACUCUGAAAACUUUUCUUUACAAUCCAAGCUCCUUUCUUCCCGAAUACUACUGAAUACAUUUUGGAGGAAGUUCUGUCAACUUUUCUGUGAGAUUUGAUGAAUAUUUCCCCAGUGAUUUCAAACGAGAGUCACAAUGGAGUGUCACAAUUGAAAUUCUAGUUAUUUAACUUAAUGGGUUUUUUAAGUGUUUAAGAUUGUUAUUAACAAGUAAAAGCAAUUUUCCGUCUCUGACAGGAGUACUGGUCGUCAUAUAUAUACAUUGUUUUAUUUUAUUAAAGUUGCACGUGGAACCAGGUAGUGUGUUCUGUGGAGCUCAGGGGCCACCGUGGGGAUUAAGACUGAGGUCAAGUGGACAGAGCUCCAGGACUCUGAUCCCUGUGUCAGCCAGAGCAACUCUGUGCUAUGUGUUUUCAGUGCAAACUUUCAUUUGUCUAAAAGAUUUCACUGCUAAAAAGGAAAAAAAAACAUUAAGCGCACUGUUAGAAG
rnacentral:lncRNA from 1 species